UCUCUCUCUGCUCUUAUGUUCACCGCAUUUUUGUUUUCCUUAAUGUUUUUUCUCCCCCCCCACCUCGUUAAACGUUUUUUGAUUGUCUAUUUUUUUUUUUUUUUUUUUUUUUGUAAAUUCCCCAAUAUUACGACAAUGUCAACGUUAAUGUGUAUGUAAAAACAACGGUGUGUCGUGUAUUUUAGGCAGGCGUGUACUGUACAUUUGACGCGAAGCUGGUUUUCACUUUGAUCUGUCAGAUUUUACGAUUUACCAUUUCUGAGAUCAUUGUGAAAGCUAAUUUCGUGACUCACGGUGAAACCAACGCGACGGCCGGGGCCGUUUCCGAAAUCAUCGGCGUCCGCCCGAUUUUGUUGUCAUCGCUUUGCACGCGCGCCGCGCGACGAACAGCGUCGUCGUCGUCGAUAUCGCGCCCGGUAAAUCUCCCCGGGCGGAUUUGUGUCCUUAUCGCCGUUGCGCAUUACGCGUGUGCAUUCGUAUUCGUGUUGCCGUUUUUCCACCCCGAUUUGCGAGCAUGCGACGCACGCGCGGCGGACGGCGAUAGUGACACACGAGGU